UACGGGGGGGGGCAAGCGUUGUUCGGAAUUACUGGGCGUAAAGGGCGCGUAGGCGGCCUGCUAAGUCGGAUGUGAAAUCCCUCGGCUCAACCGAGGAACUGCAUCCGAUACUGGCGGGCUGGAAUCCGGGAGAGGGAUGUGGAAUUCCAGGUGUAGCGGUGAAAUGCGUAGAUAUCUGGAGGAACACCGGUGGCGAAGGCGGCAUCCUGGACCGGUAUUGACGCUGAGGAGCGAAAGCCAGGGGAGCAAAGCGGG
rnacentral:rRNA from 1 species